rnacentral:lncRNA from 1 species
AUGCUUGCUGUCUUCCCAUUUGUUUUGAUGGUCCACACUGUGGUGUUUAUUCACCACCUUCAGCCCACAGCAUUACCCUGUUUAUUAUCCGCCACCUUCAGCCCACAGCAUUACCCUAUUUAUUAUCCACCACAUCCAGCCCACAGCAUUACCCUGUUUAUUAUCCGCCACCUUCAGCCCACAGCAUUACCCUAUUUAUUAUCCACCACAUCCAGCCCACAGCAUUACCCUGUUUAUUAUCCGCCACCUUCAGCCCACAGCAUUACCCUAUUUAUUAUCCACCACAUCCAGCCCACAGCAUUACCCUGUUUAUUAUCCACCACCUUCAGCCCACAGCAUUACCCUGUUUAUUUUCCACCACCUUCAGCCUACAGCAUUACCCUGUUUAUUGUCCACCACCUUCAGCCCACAGCAUUACCCAGCUUAUUAUCCACCACCUUCAGCCCACAGCAUUACCCUGUUUAUUGUCCACCACCUUCAGCCCACAGCAUUACCCUGUUUAUUAUCCAUCACCUUCAGCCCACAGCAUUACCCUGUUUAUUAUCCGACACCUUCAGCCCACGACAUUACCCUGUUUAUUAUCCGCCACUUUCAGCCCACAGCAUUACCCUGUUUAUUAUCCAUCACCUUCAGCCCACGACAUUACCCUGUUUAUUAUCCAUCACCUUCAGCCCACAGCAUUACCCUGUUUAUUAUCCCGCACCUUCAGCCCACGACAUUAUCCUGUUUAUUAUCCGCCACCUUCAGCCCACGGCAUUACCCUGUUUAUUAUCCGCCACCUUCAGCCCACAGCAUUACCCUGUUUAUUAUCCACCACCUUCAGCCCACGGCAUUACCCUGUUUAAUAUCCCUCACCUUCAGCUCACAGCAUUACCCUGUUUAUUAUCCACCACCUUCAGCCCACAGCAUUACCCUGCGUAUUAUCCCCCACCUUCAGCCCACAGCAUUACCCUGUUUAUUAUCCAUCACCUUCAGCCCACAGCAUUACCCUGUUUAUUGUCCACCACCUUCAGCCCACAGCAUUACCCUGCUUAUUAUCCACCACCUUCAGCCCACAGCAUUACCCUGUUUAUUAUCCGCCACCUUCAGCCCACAGCAUUACCCUGUUUAUUAUCCAUCACCUUCAGCACACAGCAUUACCCUGUUUAUUGUCCACCACCUUCAGCCCACAGCAUUACCCUGUUUAUUAUCCAUCACCUUCAGCCCACAGCAUUAUCCUGUUUAUUAUUCACCACCACCAUGCCCAAACCCCAAUCCCUCAACCCCCAACACUUCAACGUCACACCAAUAAGUCUCCUCAGCCACGGGUCAUCUGUUAUUGUCAGUCACACCUCUCAUUUUUUUCUUGUGGGGUUCAAGACUGUGAUUUUGAUUAUGUUGUUGUUAUUGUUGCUGUUGUUGCUGUUGGUUUUCUCAUAUCCUGGUUUGACUUUGUGUGUUUUUUGUUGA